rnacentral:rRNA from 1 species
UACGAAGGGGGCUAGCGUUGCUCGGAAUCACUGGGCGUAAAGCGCACGUAGGCGGGUCCUUAAGUCAGGGGUGAAAUCCCGGAGCUCAACUCCGGAACUGCCUUUGAUACUGGAGAGCUCGAGUCCGGAAGAGGUGAGUGGAACUGCGAGUGUAGAGGUGAAAUUCGUAGAUAUUCGCAAGAACACCAGUGGCGAAGGCGGCUCACUGGUCCGGUACUGACGCUGAGGUGCGAAAGCGUGGGGAGCAAACAGG